rnacentral:tRNA from 1 species
AGAGGGAUUCGAACCCUCGGUACAGUUAACCCGUACACUCGAUUAGCAAUCGGGCUCUUUAGACCACUCAGACAUCACCCCA